AUUGAACGCUGGCGGCAUGCCUUACACAUGCAAGUCGAACGGCAGCACGGGUGCUUGCACCUGGUGGCGAGUGGCGAACGGGUGAGUAAUACAUCGGAACGUACCUUAUCGUGGGGGAUAACGCAGCGAAAGCUGUGCUAAUACCGCAUAAGCCCUGAGGGGGAAAGCGGGGGUCGAAAGACCUCGCGCGAUUAGAGCGGCCGAUGCCUGAUUAGCUUGUUGGUGGGGUAAAAGCCCACCAAGGCGACGAUCAGUAGCUGGUCUGAGAGGACGAUCAGCCACACUGGGACUGAGACACGGCCCAGACUCCUACGGGAGGCAGCAGUGGGGAAUUUUGGACAAUGGGGGCAACCCUGAUCCAGCAAUGCCGCGUGAGUGAAGAAGGCCUUCGGGUUGUAAAGCUCUUUUGUCAGGGAAGAAACACCGGCUCUAACACAGUCCGGGAAUGACGGUACCUGAAGAAUAAGCACCGGCUAACUACGUGCCAGCAGCCGCCGUAA
rnacentral:rRNA from 1 species